rnacentral:rRNA from 1 species
UCUUCGGGGGUACUCGAGCGGCGAACGGGUGAGUAACACGUGAGUAAUCUGCCUCUGGCUUCGGGAUAGCCACCGGAAACGGUGAUUAAUACCGGAUAUGACCAGUUCCUGCAUGGGGGUUGGUGGAAAGUUUUUCGGCCAGGGAUGUGCUCGCGGCCUAUCAGCUUGAUGGUGGGGUAAUGGCCUACCAUGGCUUCGACGGGUAGCCGGCCUGAGAGGGUGACCGGUCACACUGGGACUGAGACACGGCCCAGACUCCUACGGGAGGCAGCAGUGGGGAAUAUUGGACAAUGGGCGAAAGCCUGAUCCAGCAACGCCGCGUGAGGGAUGACGGCCUUCGGGUUGUAAACCUCUUUCAGCACAGACGAAGCGAGCCGUGAGGUGAGUGACGGUAUGUGCAGAAGAAGCACCGGCCAACUACGUGCCAGCAGCCGCGGUAAUACGUAGGGUGCGAGCGUUGUCCGGAAUUAUUGGGCGUAAAGGGCUCGUAGGCGGUUUGUCGCGUCGGGAGUGAAAACGCCGUGCUUAACACGGCGCUUGCUUUCGAUACGGGCAGACUAGAGGUAUUCAGGGGAGAACGGAAUUCCUGGUGUAGCGGUGAAAUGCGCAGAUAUCAGGAGGAACACCGGUGGCGAAGGCGGUUCUCUGGGAAUGACCUGACGCUGAGGAGCGAAAGUGUGGGGAGCGAACAGGAUUAGAUACCCUGGUAGUCCACACCGUAAACGUUGGGCGCUAGGUGUGGGGUCCAU